rnacentral:lncRNA from 1 species
GUUAGGUUUUGUCUCAGGGUUUUGGGAGUCUAUCGUGCUGAUAACGUGUUGUAAUUAGAGAGUUUAGAGACUGAAUAUUUUUGUUGUUAUUAUUAAUGAUCAAAUGGGUUCCUUUAUAUAAGGAUUACAAGAUGAAGAUAAAUGGAAAGUAUCCAAAACCUAAAUUCACUAGGAUUAGGAAAACUACUAAUACAUAAUAAUGGAAAGAAUACAUCUACUAGGAAAAGGAAAGGGUUUCUUUUUCUCCAAGCUUUGUGGCCGUUUUUCUCUCUUCUGAAGUUGGCUCUCUCCCUCCUCUCUCUAGGCUUCGGCCAUCUCUCCAUCUUCUAGGUAUUGAGCCGGUCUCGGUCCAAUACCUGGUUAAUGGCAAUUCACUACAUGAUUUAUAACACUGAUGUAUAU